UUAAGUGCUGGUUUUAGGCUGGAAGGUAAAUUUGCUGGAAUUGUUUAAGUAAGCUGAUUUUUGUGUUUUGUAUGGAAAGGAGGUGGCGGUUUGGCUAAAAACCCAAUCCAGCUUCAGUUCCAACUCUCUAACAUAAUAAACCAUUCUUUACUCCCACCUCACUCGCCAGUAAUAUGGAGGGUAAUGGAGUGUAUUGGUGGGAUUGAAAUGGCAGAGCAUUUUUUAAAAAAUGCUUCAAAACUUUAUAUACACACAAUUUUACAAGAUCUCAGUUUGAAUUAACAUCUGUUGAUGCUGCUUCGUUUUGUUUCUGGUGGACACAGACUACUGCCUAAUUGCAGCUAUAGGAAAAGCUUGGACUACUCCAUUGUUUUCUAUGUGAAUUCUCAGUUCCGCCCGGAGCGGUGGGGGGCAUCAAAAGAACCAGGAAGUUUCCUAUUCAAUUGAAUUUUUACUCUAGUCGUUUCCUAUCUCAAUAUUGUCACAGUCCGCUGCAUAAAAUUCCGUGUUAUGCUGUCUGAAGGCAAAUCAGCUUGAUGUGUUUGAGUAAACCAAAGUAACUCCAUUUUACAUAGAAUACCAAAGCAUCUCCAAGUUUGCUUAGAAAACCUAAUUCUAACUUAAAGCAACCCCAGCCCAGCUCAGGCCAGCUCAAGGACACGGCCUCACAUGAUUAUCUCUCUCCACUAAAUUGUAUCUAAAGAAACUUGGUUCUCACCAUUCUUUGCUGAGAAGUUAAUAAAACAGGAUGUAACCAAAUAAGGAGUGAUCACCAGAUGAACAAUGAAUCAUUCGCAUGCGUACUAGAUACUUAGUCCACCAUUUUACUGCCACAUAUACUAUGUCAGCAUCAUUCAGAUUGUCUGUAUAAAUGUAAGAUGCACCUAUAACCAAUUUGUAUUCAAUGUGGAGCGUGAGCCCCAUUGUCUACCUGCUUCUGCAGAGCAUUAAACCAAGCCUCUAAUUGAUUCCCACUGUGUCUGUUUGAUUGGCUUAAGGCGGACCCAGGGACGAACUGAAUUCACAUCAAUUUGGUGCCGUGACAGUCGGAUAUGGCUCUGGGUGGACAGUCUGACCCAUCACGGGACAAUGAGAUCCAGCGCGCCUCACAGCAUUUUGUCUGUGGAGGAUUCUCAUGGGCCCGGGAUGCGCCAGUCGUCACAAUGCGCCACAUCUGGGAAUCGAGGCAAGAGUGAAUAAAAGUGUGAACAGAGAGAGUGAGUGAGAGAGAGAGUGAAAUCCAAAGACGUCUUUUGGUUCUCCUCAGCCCAAGAGGGGCAAAGGGGGGGGGGAAGCCCAGGGAGGGGCAAUUUUCAGCCCGAGAAAAGGGGGAAAAUCCUACAGCCGAAGAAGGGCUGCCCACGCAGGGGCAAAUUUAAGACAAAAUCCCGAGAGGGGAGAAAGCCAAAAUCCCGAGGGGGGGGGCAAUUUAAGCCAAAAAGUCCAAGCAGGGGCGGUUUAAUCUUUCAGCUCGAGAAGGGGGAAAGAGAGAGAGAGAAAACAAAAACAAAAAAAACCCACAGCCGAAGUAGGGCUGCCUGGGAAGGAGUGACUUAAGCCAAGAGCCCAAGGAGGGGCGGCUUUGAGUCAGAAAUAAACAGUCUAAGCCCGACCAACUCAAAGUGGGGGCUAUGGGUAGCAGAAAUAGCAAGUACACAAAAUCUGAACGGAUUUCAUGUACACCUUUGGAGUGUGUGUUGAAAAAUUGGGUGAUUAUCAUGGGAGCAAAGAGUGCUCUUAGAAAACAUGUUUUGAAAUGCCUUUGUAUGAAAGUUUGGCCACUAUGAACUCGAGUCAGAGGCCUCCUGACUCCGAAAAUAACAUCCUUUUGCACUUGCCUCUGUUUUAUAAGUGUUAAGGAAGGAAGAAUGAUUGUCUUUUGCAAAAAUCAUUUCUCUCUCUGUGUUCUGUUUCCAAGUUGCUUCCAAGCUUUGCCCGUGUGUUGCAAACAGUCUGCAAACAGUCUCUGCCACUGUCCUGUUGUAACCAAGCCAAAAGAUAACACUGUUCUAGCUGCAAAAGUUUAUCUGAACAAAAGGCUGCUUUUGUUCUAUUUUUCCCUUUUUCUAUCUCUCUUCAACUACUUGAGUUGGAAAAGAGGAAAGAAAAUGGAGUUUUGAAGGAAUGCAUAUGGGAAUUGCAGAUAAAAGAAAAUAAAAAAACCUAGAAGGAAAUACGUAAAAGGAUUUUUGUUGGAGGUUGUUAACAACAACAAAAAGAAAAAUGCUUGAAAAGCGCCAGUAAGUUAUAAGAUUGUGAUGUGGAAAGGUAAUAUAGAAUUACAGGUUGUUUUCAUGGAUAACUGUGAUAAGGUUGUUCUGUUUAAACUACUUUCUUAACUGAGUUUAUGGCUGACAUAUUUAAAAUGCUAUAAAAUUCUUUGGGAUUCAUAUGAAGUUUUCUUUGUUUAGUCCUUUGUUCUGUGAAAUACACAAGACGAGCCUCUGUGUGUGUGUGUGUGCAUGUUUCUGAGAGGGAGCCCAAAGCUCUGGUUCUGUAUAGGAAUUCAACCCACAUCAAUUUUAUAGCUCAUCUCUGUGAAGAUGAGGUUUCUGUUGUAUUUAUUCUGUUUAUUCUGUUGUAUUUGUGAAUGUAUUUAUACUAGUGACAUGUUUUGUUUUGUUUUUCCUUUCUGUGAACUGUUCCAGACCAAACCUGCUCUGACAUUGAAUUCCAAAAUUCACAGUUAUUAUAUUAAUUGAACAUAAAAUUGGUCAUGGCCUGAGCAACACAGGGAACUUUCAGCGGUCAGCUGGCCAACUGAGGGCAGUGCUGCUUAUGGCUAGCUAAAUGCAUUAGGCAUGAGAGCAAGCUCUAAUUCAUUCAUUCUUAUAUCAAGUUAGUUGUGAUAUUUCUGCCACUACUGAGUAUCAUAAGCCUUUAUAUGUUAUGUUUACUGAAUUCCUUGACAAUGAUCUAUCUUAUCUUACCUAUUUCUGUGAACUCAAGAGGUUCUCUGAAAAGCAGUUUGUGUUCCAGCCAGAUUAAUUGUGGUAAACAGGUUUGCAACCAACAGUGCCUUGAAUUGUCUUUCCAAGAAGGAUUGGUCCUCCCCAGAUCGAAGGAAUACCUGGAUCCAUCGCCAGAAUGUGAUCCCAAGGGAGUCUCCAUCAACAGUGACCCAGGAAAACUAACUUUCCAGUCCAACCCAAUGGUGACAGAACGUCUAUCUACUACCCUGUCCUGUGUUCGAGGAAGAAGGCCUAAUGCACAGUUCAUCUUCCUGCUUCCAAGUGUUAUAGGAGAAGGAUAGACAACAAACGCCUGAAGACUGCCUGAUAACAAACAAGCAAGCCAAUUUGUUCACUUUUCUGUGGAGUCAUACACGUAACAGCAUUUCCCCAAGCUAUAAAGCCCUGGAACCAUCCUACCUGGGUAAGAUACCUUGCCAAAGACACUAUUUCAGAUUGCCCACAAGGGGAGGGAGUCAAGGCUCCCAAACACAUGAACAUUUAAGCUUGUCUGUGGACACUAGCCAAACAAGCCAAAACAACACGGAUCAGGAUAGCCAAAAUCCUGCAACGUUUUACAAGAGCAUUUGGUUCUCAACUGAAGGACUAAAAUAUAUUUUUCCUUACCAAGGACUUUUAGAUUUUGAAUUCUAAAGCUCUCCAUGGCUUCCUUUUUGGCCAUGACAGACUUUAGAGGACACUAAGGGGGGUGGGAGUUGAUGAUUUGCACCACUUUCUUAUAUUACUCUCUUGUAGUGACUAUGUGCUAUCAUUAUGUUGAAAACCUUGCUAUCUCCUGUGCUGUAAGGUCAUGGACCUCACAUGCUUGCUCUCCAGUCAUUUCCUUAUUGUUUCACUUAUAUAUUGUGCCAAUCAUCUCAUUGUUUCAACCAGAGCAUUUACCUGCAAGUCUGCACCUAUCCCCAAGUUACUGAUCCCUUUAUGCUCUAAGACAUUAAGCUGGCCCAAGCUUUACCUACAAUUUUAUAGACACUUGUAUUAAUCAGUGUGAUUAUACAUGACUUGUCAUUGCUAUCGCUUUCCACAAGCUGAUAACCCAUUAAUCACCAGAAGCAUCUGGUUCCACAAUGCAAGACUGUUAUUUAUACUUUAUUUGGGAUAAAGAUGGGUUAAAAUCAUGUUGCUUGCUAUAAGUUGUAUGAUCUUUAUAUGUACACUUUGCUGUUAUGUGUAAAAUUUUUAUAUAUAUAUCAAAUCAUGCCAGAUAUGGGUGGUUAAGGAUAUGUGUGUGUGUGAUGUAUAGAAUUAUAUAAUUAUGUUGUAGCUCUAGAAUAUUGUAUGCAAUGUGCCUGCCAUAGCACAUACCAUUUCUGUAAAAACUAUGCUUAAUGCAUCACAAAUGUUUAAGGCAUCCCAAAACCACAUAUGUUCCAAACCCUUUAGCCACACGAAACACAAAGUUCCAUCAAUGGGCAAGAACUAUAUUCCAAGAUUAAGAGUUUGUGUGUUAGAAAGAGCUACUGUUAAUAUUUUCAAACAGUUAGAACUUUCAUUAACUAAUAUGGAGAGCCUAUUGAUUUAUGGGCAAAGAAGAUAAUUCUGGUUGUAUUUUCUUUGUAUUAAUAAUCACAUGUUGCUGCUUACAAUGCAUUACAGCUUUAAACCAAAUGUUUAUGAGAACCUUUAAACCUUGCCAUAGUAUAAGACCCAUACAUACAGCUGUACCUUUACAAACUUUAAUUAAGACAUCCUGAAGAUUCAGGAUGAUCCAAUUGUUUCAGGGGGGAAUUGAUGUGUUUGAGUAAACCAAAGUAACUCCAUUUUACAUAGAAUACCAAAGCAUCUCCAAGUUUGCUUAGAAAACCUAAUUCUAACUUAAAGCAACCCCAGCCCAGCUCAGGCCAGCUCAAGGACACGGCCUCACAUGAUUAUCUCUCUCCACUAAAUUGUAUCUAAAGAAACUUGGUUCUCACCAUUCUUUGCUGAGAAGUUAAUAAAACAGGAUGUAACCAAAUAAGGAGUGAUCACCAGAUGAACAAUGAAUCAUUCGCAUGCGUACUAGAUACUUAGUCCACCAUUUUACUGCCACGUAUACUAUGUCAGCAUCAUUCAGAUUGUCUGUAUAAAUGUAAGAUGCACCUAUAACCAAUUUGUAUUCAAUGUGGAGCGUGAGCCCCAUUGUCUACCUGCUUCUGCAGAGCAUUAAACCAAGCCUCUAAUUGA